UUCAGGGGCUAACGGCAGUAAAUAUCGGGCUUGGACAACUAAGAGGACCAUGGACCUGGGAAAAGGAAAAGUCCAUCACUCCUUCCUAGUGAUCCCAGAAUGCCCAGCCCCAUUGAUGGGCAGGGAUCUGCUCACCAAACUCCAGGCCAGAAUAACUUUUAACCCUGAAGGCCCCCAAAUGGAAUUUCUAAAUCCUUCAGUAAAAACUUUUAUAGUCAUGGCUUUAACUAUAUCAGUAAAAGAUGAACAUCAACUCUUCACACACCCCCAAAACUGAUCAAACAGGAAAGCUAUCCCAGAAAUGGAUAACAGAUUACCCAGAUGCCUGGGCAGAAACUGCUAAAUUAGGCCUAGCCAUAAAACAACCUCCAAUAAUGGUGGAGUUAAAAACUUCAGCCUCCCCAAUUAAUAUUAAACAAUAUCCUCUGAGCAAAGAAGCUAAAGAUGGGAUAAGGCCCCAUAUUCAGAAAUAUCUGGCCUUGGGGGUCCUAAGGCCCUGUCAAUCAGCCUGGAACACUCCCCUGCUACCAGUAAAAAAGGCAGAAACUGGGGACUAUCGCCCCAUUCAAGAUCUAAGAGAGACCAACAACAGAGUGUAGGACAUUCACUCCACAGUACCUAACCCGUACAAUCUGCUUAGCACCCUAAACCCUGAUCAAAAAUGGUAUACUGUCCUAGACUUAAAAGAUGCUUUCUUUUGCUUGCCUCUGCAUAAAGAUAGUUGCUGUUUGCUUUCGAGUGCGUAGACCCAGAAACCAGAACGUCUGGUCAACUAACUUGGACCAGACUCCCAUAGGGGUUCAAAAACUCCCCCACUCUCUUUGAUGAAGCCCUCCAAAGAGAUCUCAACAACUUCAGAACUAUGCACCCCGAAGUCACCCUGCUUCAAUAUAUGGAUGACCUGCUACUGACAGCCGAUACCAAGGAAAACUAUACAUUUUCAGGAUGAAUUGAAGCCUUCCCCA